GCCGGCGUAGCUCAAUUGGAAGAGCGUGAGACUCUUAGAUUCGUCUAGAGUCCAUCUCAAGGCUGUGGGUUCGAGCCCCACCGUUGGCU